CUGUAGGAUGGUUUUGGCUUCUGAGAGGAAUUAAGUGCUGUAGUGGUGGGGAGUCUGUGAGAAGAUGUUGUGACAGCCUUGAGGACACUUGCUAUGAGUAUGGAGCAGAUUUUAGUGACUUCUAGAGUUGUGGCUAUGGAUAAAGAAGAGUAUUUCAGCCUGACUCCAGCUGAAGGUGGGAGUGCUGGGACUGUGGCUAUGAACAAUUGCAAAUGGAUUUCCCCUGCCUGGGUCGCUGUGGAGCAGCAGCCAGCCUAGAGAGGAGGAAGAGCAUGCAAUAUUCUCCUGCCUUUCUCACAGAGGAUAUUAUGCUUAUUUGGAUUGUUCACAUAAGGAGAAACACUCAAGGAGGAAGCCAAGGACUGGUUGGAGAUGCUGCAAGCCUGUCACUGCACUCCUGUGAGCAGCUGCUCUGAUGAGGAAGACACAGAUGCUUUAAUUCUUCAGGUGUUUUGAACUAUUUAUCCUAUAUAAGACUGCUAAGCACCAAAAUGGGUUUGGAGAUACUUCUGCUUUUUCUAGUAUUUGAGAAAUAGUGAUGGGAUAGGACUGACCCUGGAAGCCCUAAGCUUGGGUUCUAAUUAAAGAGAUUCUUGGAUUCCAGUCCAGAGACAAAUGACUUGUGCAUCUGGUAAUUAUGUCAGAAUUUGAGAGUAUGGGCUCCCAGCCCAUACCGCUGAAGAGUUUGAAUUGCUCCCUGAGCAGCUCUCUACUCCUUUGAGCUGUUUCUUUGUGUACAGUCCUUAACUUAAAACAAUUAAAAAGAUAAACACAAGGUUGCAAAUAACAAAAACUAGUAUUCAGAGAAGUAGAAGUUUGCUUAAUUUAUCUUUGAAGAAUGUAGGAAUUAGUAUAGAAGUAUUGAUGUCUUUCUGGAGUUAGCUGCAGCAGCUGAAGCCUCCUUGAGGGCCUGCUGAACUUGCUGCUUUAAUCUUAUAAUUACAAAUAUUGUGAAAUUAACAUCUAGAAUUUGAUUGAGUCAUCUCAUGUUCAGUGCUUUCUCAAUGGUCUGGCAGGCUGGUUGGGCUCAGGUUGUGUGAAGGAACCUGUAGUACAAGGACAAAUCCACUGUGCUAUCAUCUGCCUGGAGUGGUAUUUUAAUGAUGGGUUUAGAUGAUGAACAGAUAGGGGGGAAGAAGCAUUGAGUAUCAAGCAAGGUGGGGUGAAUCUAACUGGAUUUUAUUUUCUGUUGCUCACAGUUGUGGCCCAUCUGCUGCUCUCAUAAAAAGAAUAGGUUGGCUGCUGCAGAUGCUUGUGUUGUUGUAAUUAACAGUGCAGUGUGAUCUGAAGAAUUCAGUCAAGUGAAGCAGGACGAGUGCCAGUCAGGCUUGGCUUUUUUGGCUUGCUGACAUCUUAUUGUAAAUGACACUUUCAUUAGCUCAUUUAUUGCACCACUACUUCUAUAAGUGAUUGUCAACUAGGAGAAUAUAUCAGGCUGUUUACAGCAGCAAGGUGAGUCAGGAUUUUUUUAGCCUUCUCCCUUUUUAUGAGGAAGACUGACAGUCAGUCCCAGCCAGUAUCAGAUUGAUGGCUGCACUGAAACCAUUUCCUGUCACUUCUAAGCUGAUGUGGCCCCUGGGUGGCUGGAGGAUUGAGAGGGCACAGGAAUUGAUGGCACUAAUUCUCUGGUGGGGUUUAUUUCUGCAUUUGCAGAUAAGUGGCUGUUGACUAGUUUUAGGAGUUAUUUUAUAACUCAUGUUUGAAUUACUCAGCUGCUUUUUGCCAGAGGCUUUUUUUCUGUAGUUAAUUAUAGGAUUAUAAUUGCCAAUUAAGUGAUAAGCCACAAAAGAGUUUGUAUCCGUGAACUGCUGGUGCAUGCAUUCAGAGCAUUGUGCAGCACAAGCAGCAUAGGAAGUGACAUAGGAUGCUUAUGGCUGUUUUGUACAAGACCUAUUUUUUCUGUGAUGUAUUGUAUAUUUUAAAAAGGCAAGAUGUGGAAAGGAGGUAGGAUUUCUUUGUCGAUAGUGCAAUUACAAAUUAUACCAGCAACAAGGGGAGGAACAGAAAGAUUUUUACUUUCUUCAACCUCCCAAUUCUCCUUCUGUCCCCUGCUCUGAGUCAGUCCUUCCUUCUGGCUUAAUUUCAGUUUGGGCCACCUGAGGUUCAGUUCUGUUCAAAGUACUCUGUUAAAGUGGAUAUGCUAUAUCAUUCUUGGGUUAAAUUAUAGUGGUAAGAAAUGAAAGUAGUAGAGGCAUUUUCUUUAAAUUGUUCUUUAAAGAUCUGUUGCAACAGCUCUAGCUGAGAUGCUCCAGAACAAAUCAAAAUUGACCAUUGUCUAGCAUCAAAAAUAGUGUGAUUUAGCUGAAAUGCUUAUUCUGAAUUUGUUUCUUCUCCGAGGCAGCUGAGCAAUUUAACUGGAGUAUUGCAUUGGAGGAACGUGGCAUUUCUUGAUUGUUUUCAUAGCACAAGGUGGGAAAAUAGCUUUCCUGUCCUCUAAAUGCUUUAGACUUGAAAAUGUGUUAAUCUGCUUGUUGAUCACAAAGAGAUGCUUUAUCUUGAGAGAAAAUGUUAAGGGAAAAUUUGUUGUGAGGAAAUUGACACAAAUGAGUUGCAUUUUGUGUGUGUGUACAAUAAUGAGGGGUAGAGUGAGGAGAAGCUUUGUCAUUCAGAAAAGUAGAAAUUUUCUUUUCUGCAAGAAAGAAAAAUAAGUAUGCAACUUUUACUGAGGUGGAACACUUUAGUUGCUUCACUUCAUUAUGAGCGAAAUCAAUACUAACAAAGUUAAGUUGCAGUAGUGUGACAAUGAAUUCACCUCCUGAUUUAACAGCCACCCUUCAAAGGCAGGAUGCCAAGUGAAAUGCCCUCUCUGUGCAGAGUGAAGAAAUGUACUUGAAGCAAGAAUUUUUUCUUAAGUAUGGUGCUGAGUAACUGGUCAAAGGAUUGCUACCAGUCCAGUCACAGUGCUAACAAUAUCCAAAUUAGCUGUUAUUACAGCUUACUUGUGAUAAUAAUAUUAUAAAUAUAUACAAACUUUGUCAUCUCCACUUUUGGUAUUGCCCUUUGUUCCCAUGUUACUUUAGCCCCUGGGCUGCAUGAGGUAAUUUUCCUUGAAAGGAAGAGAAGGUGGUUUUACAAUGAAUUGUCAGCACAAUGAGCCCUUUGCUGAGGAAAAUGCCAUGAUGGUUUCUUCCCCGUGAUUUUGCACCUUCUUCAGCUUCUUUUUGUGGGAUUGCUGAAGCAGUCUGCUCACUUGCUUUUCUUCCAGUGAAUGUAAGUGAUGUAUUGAAGAUCUGUUAUUUGUGUACAUGAUGGCUGUUUGUUCUUUGGUGCUCCAAAACAGGUUUUACCCACCUCCUAAACUUGCAUGCAUAUAGUGACUGUAAAUCAAUCUUGUGAUUUGUUUUUGUAGUUCUGUGGUCUCUGUUGUCGUUCUGUGGCUGCUGUUUCAAAGCCUCUGUUGUAAUUUUCUCCCUCUAUUUUUGGGCUGGUACCACAUCUGUUUUUCUUAGAUGUCACUCAGGCUGAGGUUAACUGAUGUUCUGAGAGCACAACAAAUCUUGUUUCAGUUCUUGGGUCACUGAGAGUUCACUCUAAAAAUAAGAGAUCCACUAGAAGACACACAUAAAUAGAGAUACAGAGACACAAUUCUGUGGUAGGUCCUUGCUACAAAUGAUCUUCUAGUUAUGCCAAUAUCUUUGCUAUGUUAUAGAAACUGCAGCAAUAAAUGAUCAUAUAAAAUUGUAGUGGCUAGGCAGUAAGAAUUAUUAUUUGAAUAUAUUGGUGUGAUGUAUGCUUGGAAAGUAGGAUAUAAAAAAUGAAAAGUCAUGUCUGAGGAUGUGCAUCUGUGGAGUUUAUUGAAGGGCAUGUGGAUGAUUUUGCUAUGUCAGCCAUCUUUAUUAUGCCUUAUGGAAAGUAAGCUGUAAGAAACAAUUUGA